AUUAGAUACCCCUGUAGUCCAGGGUGUAAACGCUGCAGACUUGGUGUUGGAGGCCCUUUGGGGGCAUUCAGUGCCGGAGAGAAGUUGUUAAGUCUGCUACUUGGGGAGUACGCCCGCAAGGAUGAAACUUAAGGGAAUUGGCGGGGGAGCACCGCAACGGGAGGAGCGUGCGGUUUAAUUGGAUUCAACACCGUAAACUCACCAGGGAAGACUGUUACAUGAAGGCCGAGAUGAAGACUCUGCUAGAUUUUCAG
rnacentral:rRNA from 1 species